rnacentral:rRNA from 1 species
GAUGAACGCUGGCGGCGUGCCUAAUACAUGCAAGUCGAGCGAACAGACGAGGAGCUUGCUCCUCUGACGUUAGCGGCGGACGGGUGAGUAACACGUGGAUAACCUACCUAUAAGACUGGGAUAACUUCGGGAACCCGAGGCUAAUACCGGAUAAUAUAUUGAACCGCAUGGUUCAAUAUUGAAAAAGGUUUUUCCUUUCACUUUAAGUUGGUUCCGCCCCGCAUUAGCUAGUUGGUAAGGUAACGGCUUACCAAGGCGACGAUGCGUAGCCGACCUGAGAGGGUGAUCGGCCACACUGGAACUGAGACACGGUCCAGACUCCUACGGGAGGCAGCAGUAGGGAAUCUUCCGCAAUGGGCGAAAGCCUGACGGAGCAACGCCGCGUGAGUGAUGAAGGUCUUCGGAUCGUAAAACUCUGUUAUUAGGGAAGAACAAAUGUGUAAGUAACUAUGCACGUCUUGACGGUACCUAAUCAGAAAGCCACGGCUAACUACGUG